AUUACCUUUAAUAGCAGUCCAGUGAGGCUGAAAAGGGACAGACAUUUCCUAGGGGAAGUGUACCUAAUUUACGUAUGUCUACGUAUUUUUACCCUCUUACUGCUAAGUAAGAGGGUUUUUUAU
rfam:Bacillus cellulosilyticus DSM 2522, complete genome.